GGGGAUGUGGCUCAGUGGUAGAGUACUUGCCUAGCAUGCAUGAGGCACUGGGUUUGAACCUUAGCACCA
rnacentral:tRNA from 1 species